CCCUUAGAUGUUCUGGGCCGCACGCGUGCUACACUGAGUGGAUCAGCGUGUCAGGUUGCGCGAAAGCGUUUCCUAAUCUUUAAAUCCGCUCGUGAUGGGGAUUGACGGUUGCAAUUUUCUGUCAUGAACGAGGAAUACCUUGUAAGCGCGGGUCAUCAUCCCGCGCUGAAUACGUCCCUGCCCUUUGUACACACCGCCCGUCGCUCCUACCGAUUGAGUGGUCCGGUGAGGCUUUGGGAUCUGAGCGGAAAGAGCGUUUCGCUGUUUCUGCUCGGAAAACUCAGUCGAACCUUAUCAUUUAGAGGAAGGAGAAGUCGUAACA
rnacentral:rRNA from 1 species